UGAAUUUACAGGUAGACGACUUGCAAUAUUUCUUCAUGUGGCGUGAUAUGCAGAUGCUAGCAUUGACCAUGCAACAUCAGGUGAAUUUAAAAGAAAUCGUGGAAGGAGGCAGUCUUACCAACACCUGGAAGAUUGGUAUCAUCAACCUUAUAAUGUAGAAAGUUACUUUGGCCCCUGUUGGUAAUCAUGUUUACGGGUGACACUGUUUUCAUCUUUAUUCAAGGCAAAAAGUAACGUGGAGUCCCUCCAGCCUGUGGUAACACAUCCUUAUGUUGCUCCAUGGUUGCUGAUGCAGAUUUUGUUAGUAUUUUUUAUGAUGCAUUUGCAAGAAGUCUUGUCAUAUUGAUAACUCAUAUUGGGAAUCUUCCCUCAGGAAAUUGUAGAAUAUUCUUUGGCCCGUGUUGGUAAUCAUGUUUACGGGUGACACUGUUUUCAUCUUUAUUUAAGGCAAAAAGUAACAUUGGGAGUCCCUCCUCCAGCCUGUGGUAACACAUCCUUAUGUUGCUCCAUGGUUGCCGAUGCAGAUUUUGUUAGUAAUUUUUAUGAUGCAUUUGCAAAAGGUCUUGGGAUAUUGGUAACUCAUAUUGGGUAUCUUCCCUCGGGGAAUUGCAGAAUAUCUAGCUAUCCAACCAUUUGUUAAAGGAAUAGGAGUAGUGUACAGUCUGUGAAGCAAUAGAAGCAAAUGAGGAAAUUUGAAUUAUAAUUUUCGGAAGAGGAAUUUAUGCUUUUGGCAAAAAUUUCCUAGUUUACGUUUAUUUAAAGUCAAGAUAGAAAAAUAACUUAUGAGAAAGGGAAUUGCACUUUUUUGUUUAUUUGGGGCAAGACUUUUCACAUGUUUGACGAGGUCAAUGACGUACCUGUCACUUUAAUAGAUGUGUUCUGGACCGCAAAAGGUUCCUUCUUUUUACAAUGUUAAGGUCAUGUAAAUUGAUUCUUUUGGCGUUCCAUAACUUAAACAUUGUUUUCUACAACAUUGCUAUUAGAGUGUGUUGUGUAGGAAUUUAG
rnacentral:lncRNA from 1 species